CCUACGGGAGGCUGCAGUGAGGAAUAUUGGUCAAUGGCCGGAAGGCUGAACCAGCCAAGCCGCGUGAAGGACGAAGGUGCCAAGCAUUGUAAACUUCUUUUGUCAAGGGACAAAAUCCGGCUCGAGAGCCUGACCGCGUGUACUUGAAGAAAAAGCAUCGGCUAACUCCGUGCCAGCAGCCGCGGUAAUACGGAGGAUGCGAGCGUUAUCCGGAUUUAUUGGGUUUAAAGGGUGCGUAGGCGGAAUAUCAAGUCAGCGGUAAAAAUUCGGGGCUCAACCCCGUCGUGCCGUUGAAACUGAUGGUCUUGAGUGGGCGAGAAGUAUGCGGAAUGCGUGGUGUAGCGGUGAAAUGCAUAGAUAUCACGCAGAACUCCGAUUGCGAAGGCAGCAUACCGGCGCCCAACUGACGCUGAAGCACGAAAGCGUGGGUAUCGAACAGGAUUAGAUACCCGGGUAGUC
rnacentral:rRNA from 1 species